rnacentral:pre_miRNA from 1 species
UUUUGAUUCUUCGUCUUAUUUAAAAUAUUUUUGCGAUCAAUAAUUUUAUUGUUACUAGAUACUAAAUCAUGAAUAGUACUUUAUACGUAACUCAUUUUUAAGUUUUUGUGUAAAUUAUUUAAAUAAGACGAAUAAUCAAAG